rnacentral:rRNA from 1 species
AUUGAACGCUGGCGGCAGGCCUAACACAUGCAAGUCGAACGGUAACAGGAAACAGCUUGCUGUUUCGCUGACGAGUGGCGGACGGGUGAGGAAUGUCUGGGAAACUGCCUGAUGGAGGGGGAUAACUACUGGAAACGGUAGCUAAUACCGCAUAACGUCGCAAGACCAGAGAGGGGGACCUUCGGGCCUCUUGCCAUCGGAUGUGCCCAGAUGGGAUUAGCUUGGUGGUGGGGUAACGGCUCACCAAGGCGACGAUCCCUAGCUGGUCUGAGAAGAUGAGCGACCACACGGGAACUGAGACACGGACCAGACUACUACGGGAGGCAGCAGUGGGGAAUAGUGCACAAUGGUGGCAAGCCUGAUGCGACAAUGCCGCGUGUAUGAAGAAGGCCUUCGGGUUGUAAAGUACUUUCAGCGGGGAGGAAGGGAGUAAAGUUAAUACCUUUACUCAUUGACGUUACCCGCAGAAGAAGCACCGGCUAACUCCGUGCCAGCCGCCGCCGCGG